rnacentral:lncRNA from 1 species
GGUUGUUUUUGUUGUUGUUGUUGUUUUUGUUUGUGUAUUUGUUUGUUUUGUAUAUGAUGAUAAAAACAAAACCACAAGAUAACUGAUAAGAGGGAAGAUGAAAAGGAAAAUGGCUGAACAGAAGAGUUGUUCUGGUGUGUGGUUGUGGCUGGGAGAGGCUGAAUGCAUGCAGCCAAAGGAAAGGUAUGCGGUACUGUCCUGAUGUCUUCAGAGAGAAGUGAAAAUGUUUGAUGCAGGAGUAGAUGUUGAAUGUACCCCAUCCAUGAGCUAGCUAAAGAAGAAUGACUGUAGGCAUGAUUACAUUCUGUGGAAUACUAUCAAGGGGCAGCAUACCCCUGGCUGAGACUGUACAUUUGCUUCCUGUGGACCACCAAAAGGAAACUGGAUGGCACUAGUUUUUCCACAGCUUGAAGGAAACAUAGUUGAACUCAUGACUUAACAAUGAAAGAGUUUACAAUUCCAUAUCUAUGUCUGGAUCAUGCAGCCUCUUCACAAUGCAAUUUUUGAUUUAUUGAUUCAGGUUAAAAAUACAUGCUGAAAUACUGGCUUUCUGCUUUGCUUUACACCUUGUUUUGUUUUGUUUUUGUUUUUAAGGAAAUUGUUCUUUAACAUUCACUUUGAGUACCUGUGCGGGGGUGUAGGUUUGAG